AGAGUUUGAUCCUGGCUCAGGAUGAACGCUGGCGGCGUGCCUAAUACAUGCAAGUCGAGCGAACGGACGAGAAGCUUGCUUCUCUGAUGUUAGCGGCGGACGGGUGAGUAACACGUGGAUAACCUACCUAUAAGACUGGGAUAACUUCGGGAAACCGGAGCUAAUACCGGAUAAUAUUUUGAACCGCAUGGUUCAAAAGUGAAAGACGGUCUUGCUGUCACUUAUAGAUGGAUCCGCGCUGCAUUAGCUAGUUGGUAAGGUAACGGCUUACCAAGGCAACGAUGCAUAGCCGACCUGAGAGGGUGAUCGGCCACACUGGAACUGAGACACGGUCCAGACUCCUACGGGAGGCAGCAGUAGGGAAUCUUCCGCAAUGGGCGAAAGCCUGACGGAGCAACGCCGCGUGAGUGAUGAAGGUCUUCGGAUCGUAAAACUCUGUUAUUAGGGAAGAACAUAUGUGUAAGUAACUGUGCACAUCUUGACGGUACCUAAUCAGAAAGCCACGGCUAACUACGUGCCAGCAGCCGCGGUAAUACGUAGGUGGCAAGCGUUAUCCGGAAUUAUUGGGCGUAAAGCGCGCGUAGGCGGUUUUUUAAGUCUGAUGUGAAAGCCCACGGCUCAACCGUGGAGGGUCAUUGGAAACUGGAAAACUUGAGUGCAGAAGAGGAAAGUGGAAUUCCAUGUGUAGCGGUGAAAUGCGCAGAGAUAUGGAGGAACACCAGUGGCGAAGGCGACUUUCUGGUCUGUAACUGACGCUGAUGUGCGAAAGCGUGGGGAUCAAACAGGAUUAGAUACCCUGGUAGUCCACGCCGUAAACGAUGAGUGCUAAGUGUUAGGGGGUUUCCGCCCCUUAGUGCUGCAGCUAACGCAUUAAGCACUCCGCCUGGGGAGUACGACCGCAAGGUUGAAACUCAAAGGAAUUGACGGGGACCCGCACAAGCGGUGGAGCAUGUGGUUUAAUUCGAAGCAACGCGAAGAACCUUACCAAAUCUUGACAUCCUUUGACAACUCUAGAGAUAGAGCCUUCCCCUUCGGGGGACAAAGUGACAGGUGGUGCAUGGUUGUCGUCAGCUCGUGUCGUGAGAUGUUGGGUUAAGUCCCGCAACGAGCGCAACCCUUAAGCUUAGUUGCCAUCAUUAAGUUGGGCACUCUAAGUUGACUGCCGGUGACAAACCGGAGGAAGGUGGGGAUGACGUCAAAUCAUCAUGCCCCUUAUGAUUUGGGCUACACACGUGCUACAAUGGACAAUACAAAGGGCAGCGAAACCGCGAGGUCAAGCAAAUCCCAUAAAGUUGUUCUCAGUUCGGAUUGUAGUCUGCAACUCGACUACAUGAAGCUGGAAUCGCUAGUAAUCGUAGAUCAGCAUGCUACGGUGAAUACGUUCCCGGGUCUUGUACACACCGCCCGUCACACCACGAGAGUUUGUAACACCCGAAGCCGGUGGAGUAACCUUUUAGGAGCUAGCCGUCGAAGGUGGGACAAAUGAUUGGGGUGAAGUCGUAACAAGUUAGCCGUAUCGGAAGGUGCGGCUG
rnacentral:rRNA from 1 species